GGAUGUGAGGGCGAUCUGGCUGCGACAUCUGUCACCCCAUUGAUCGCCAGGGUUGAUUCGGCUGAUCUGGCUGGCUAGGCGGGUGUCCCCCUCCUCCCUCACCGAUCCAUGUGCGUCCCUCCCGAAGCUGCAGCUGCGCGCUCGGUUGGAGAGGACGACCUUCCCCCCACCCCGCCCCCCCCAGGAGAGGACCAGUCUUCGGUCAAGGGUAUAGGAGUAGCUGUGCUCCCCUGCUAGAACCUCCAAACAAGCUCUCAUUUAGCUUAGUUCCAGCAACAUGUUUUUAUGUAUCAUAAUGUGAAAGUUAUUCUUUUGUUAUAUUUG
ensembl:misc_RNA 7SK 7SK RNA